rnacentral:rRNA from 1 species
AUUGAACGCUGGCGGCAGGCCUAACACAUACAAGUCGAGCGGAGCGGCGGACGGGUGAGUAAUGCCUAGGAAUCUGCCUGGUAGUGGGGGAUAACGUCCGGAAACGGGCGCUAAUACCGCAUACUAGCAGAUGAGCCUAGGGAAGAUUAGCUAGUUUUGGGGGUAAAGGCCUACCAAGGCGACGAUCCGUAACUGGUCUGAGCGGAUGCUCAGUCACACUGGAACUGAGACACGGUCCAGACUCCUACGGGAGGCAGCAGUGGGGAAUAUUGGACAAUGGGCGAAAGCCUGAUCCAGCCAUGCCGCGUGUGUGAAGAAGUUCUUCGGAUUGUAAAGCACUUUAAGUUGGGAGGCGUUACCAACAGAAUAAGCACCGGCUAACUUCGUGCCAGCAGCCGCGGUAAUUC